CCAUAGCUAUGGCUUUGGUUGGUAACAAAAUGUUCAAGUCCAUGUUGAGCGAAACACGUGACAAGGAGCGCAUCAAGGAAAUACAGGCAUGCAUAAAGGAAUGGACAUGUCUAGCUAACGGAGUCUUGUCUGAAUUGUACUCAACAGACGAACGAAAAACCGAGGACCUUUUGGUACAAAGGCAAAUCAACUGGGGCAAUGAAUCGUGUAUGUCGAUAGCUGUGCAGGCAGACAACACGGAUUUUAUCACACAAGCCGCAUGUCAAUCUCUGCUAAACAGGAUAUGGAAUGGCCGACUGGCUAAGGACAAUUCGCGAUGGAGACUCCUGCUGUGUUUGCUGUGUCCAUUCUUGGCUCAUAACCUGCUGGACUUCACCGAACGUCAUGUUUCGUCCGAGAAAAAUAACACCUCGGAAGAUUGGACGACAAAAAAGCUAUCAGUAGUUUUCGGUAGGGCCUACUACUUCUUCAACGCUCCAGUCAUCAUCUUUUUGAACAAUUUGUGUUCUUACCUCGUGUUCCUCAGCCUGUACACGUAUAUCCUGGUCUUCAGCUUUGACACCCAAGUCUCCCUGGAAGAGAUAAUUCUUAUUGUAUGGGUGUUCGCUUUUGCAACAGAGGAAGUCAGACAGAUGGUAUCGACAUCUUCAAAACCAUUAGCCACGAAAUGUCAUAGCUACAUCAAUAACACAUGGAACAAAGUCGACACCAUGACCAUAGUAGUGUUCAUUAUCGGAAUAAUACUUCGAUUCCUGCCUUACGAGAGUACUUUCGAAGCUGCCAGGGUGGUCCUUGCUCUCAACUAUGUAACGUUUUUCCUGCGGUUAUUGCAUAUAUUUUCAGUUCACAAAGAACUGGGACCAAAACUUGUCAUGAUUGGCAAAAUGGUUCAGGACUUAAUGUACUUUGUGCUGAUCUUGAUUGUGUUUGUAUUCUCGUUCGCGAUCUCCUCCAACUCCAUUCUUUAUCCAAACUCCCCUUUUACAUGGAACACGGCUGUUCAGAUCAUCCGUAAAUCCUACUGGAACAUCUAUGGAGAGCUGUUCCUGGAAGAAAUUGAAGGUGAAGCUGACUGUACGAACGACGCUGCAUUAUGGAUGAAUGGUACCCAAGCCAGAUGCCCGACCGACACAGGAAUGUGGUUGGUGCCGAUCAUGAUGGGCAUCUACAUGAUGAUUGCCAAUGUCUUGCUACUAAACCUUCUUAUUGCAAUGUUCAGCAACACGUUCCGAAAAGUCCAGGACAACACAGACAACCAUUGGUACAUCCAGCGUUACUCUCUUAUCAACGAAUACAGCAUGCGGCCUUCACUUUUCCCACCGUUUAAUCUCCUCUUGCCUUUUGUUUGGCUUUUUGAUUGGCUAUUCCGGUUAAUAUUUAAGUCGCGUUAUAUGGCAAAGAAGCUGAAAAUAAAUUGUUUCUGUCGAUGGUUAGGGAAUCAGAAAGAGUUGAAACAAUGGGAGGAAGUGAUUGCAGCCAACUUUAACCAUAAGCGGGAAGUGAAAGAUUUGCGAAGUCCUGAAAACAAACUUAAUGACACACACGAUAUUAUAGAGCAGAUCCAUGAACAGCUUGUAUUGAAGAUUCAUCCUGGACUAGAGAGUAGGCUGACAAGCAUCGAAAAUCAGUUGGAGCGGAUAAUACAGAUGAAUGAGAAAAAACCUUCAGAUCAAGCACCAGGUCCAGUCUAGAAAGCAAGUCAGCGAUGAAGGUAUGGACUGAUCUCAGAUUAGGGACAAGCGUUGGUUUCAGAGAAUUUAUCACUGGCAUUCUGGUUGAUUGUCCCUCACAAGCUGUCAAUGCACAAUUUACUCAUAUACUUUGUUAAACUCGCUACCAAGAGGCUAGAAGCAUACAGUUAUACCAGCCGGCACGACACACAGCUAGACUUUGUUUAACUCUUGCCGAAAGGCUUGGAGCAUACUUUUUAAACCAGCUGCAUGGGUCACAUCUCAAAUGUGUGAUACUCGCUGCAAUGAGGCAAAGUGAACAUUUAUAUAAAAGUUAAAUAUACAUUCAAUUAAAUAUAGACUAAUAGAUUUUAUUUAACUUUCAAAGUAACCAAGAGGAGAAAAUAUGCAUUUUAUGAAUGAUUGAUUCGUGUUCUGUAUUAUUGAAUAAUAUUUACAAGGAUGCAUAGGGCAAACAUGUAUAUUGUUAUUUUUUUUAUGAUAUAAAUAUUCAUCGUUUACUAACUUAAACUAUGUCAAAUAAAGAUUAACAUUCAGAUAUUCUGAAUUUCCCCCAAAAUGUAUGCAUUAUGUAUACUAGUAACUGCAGUGUUUCUGCAAAAUUGUCAAAACCACACCCAUGAUAUAAACCUACAUUUUACAUUGAGUUUGUCUUCGCUGAUUUCGGGGAUAAGGAACUUCUUCGUAUUAGUUUUGUCUGUCACCCGUUUGUCAGGCUUACUUGUAAUAAUAGUGUUUCUGUUAUAUUUUGUAAGGCAAAAACAAAACUACGUUUAGUUUCUCAAGCAUUCAUUUUCUAACAUACCAGUCUCUAUUUUACUUAACAAAAUAAUCAACUUAAAUUUAAACAAAACAGAAUGAUUUGGUGGGGUUUAUCUUUUUCAACAAAGUCCAGAAUCAAUCACAUAAAAAAAAUUUGAAUUGUGUAAAAGAUAUAUAUGAUUUGUUCUACAAUUUAAUAGGUGUCAUAAUUACACAUUUAAGACCAUAAAUGGCUUUUAAUCUUGAUAUUGAAAACAAAUUAUGUGCUCCCUUCCCAUAAUUUGAAAAGUGUUUAUUUGAGAAACUAAAGAUGAUUGGCAAUUACUAAGAUGUACUUUUUAUUUGUAUUUGUUGAAACAUCUUCUGUUUUUCUUGGUCUAAAUGAUAAACAAUCAGUUUAUUUCUUUGAGCUAAUUGCACAUGAUUUCAUUAAAGAUAUGUAAUCACAAUGAAGAAACACAUUGUUAUAAUGACCCUUUUUAAAUGGAAGAUAUAACUCAAAAUUAUCUAUACAAAAACUGUCUUUGGUCGCAAAUUUCAGCUCAGAAAAUCAUCAAAUAUUUUUACAGGUCCAUCAAUCUAACAAGUUAAACGUUUUUCUGUAUAUUAUAUAUAUCUUGACUCAAUAUAUUGUUAUUGUAAUCAGGUUUCUUUGCUUAGUUCAGUUAUGUUAAAUGUUUCAUAUAUAUUCAUUAUUAAGGCUUCUAACGUACUAGAACGGCGACGCUGAACAUAGUAAUCAAUUUGGCAUUGCCUUAGUAAAAUGAACAAUACUAUCUGUUUUAACCAUUUUAAGAUAUAUUACUUCCAGUCCAUGGUGGUGUUACCAGAAAUACGUAUAUAUAAAUGUUAGGUCAUAAAGCAGAAAGUGUUCUAUAUCGUAGGGAGACCCUGAAAUGAAAUAAAAAAAACAUUCAAUUUCGGUAGAAGCCUUUAUAGUUAUACCGCAGUAAAAGCGAAUAUUAUUAUGUUUUUUUUCCUAUUCCGUAAUAACAUACAAUUAUUUUGUUAUCUCAAACUAACAAAAUUGGAUUUCGUCAUAACGAAUUUGUUGUCUGCUGUUAAAAUGAAAUAUUAUUCUACGAAAGACUUUUAUAAUUUGUGAUCUAAUGAGAUACUAUUGCCAUUAUAACUGUUUUAUGUGUAUGAAGUAUUGUAAUGUUGAAGAUCAGUAUCCUACGCGGUUGUUUUGCUUGAUGAGCUCAUUGGAGCUGGUUUUCAGCUAUAUAUUGAUAUACGAAUUUAAUUCAAUUGUAUAUCAAUGCCGUAUUGUUUUGUUUAAAUAUUUUUAUAAAGAUGUUUUUUUCAUUUUUUUAUUUUAUCCAUAAUCAAUAUCAUUAUUUCAUUAUUUCAAUUUGCUUCAUGUUGUUUUCAUGUUUGUAGUAUACCUUGUUGAUUUCUUAUGUUGUAGUACGAUGUUUAACUAUUUUCAGCUACAAGGACUCUUUGGUAUUUGUUUUUAUCAUUUUUUCUAAAUAAUUGAACCAACGUGUUUAACAGUUGUAAAUACUGACCGACAACUGGAUGAGCAUAAUAUUACAUACAUGCAAAUAGUCAUUAUUGAUCAAGACUUUAAUCAUGUGAUGAAACAGUAACAUUUCUGAUAGCUAAUUCAUACCUUUCAUAACCGCGUCUGGCCGGAUUAGUAUAACACGUGGUUUAUGAAGCAGAGAGACCUAAUUGAACUAUCAUCUGAUUUGGUGUAUUUAUGUUCAGCUUAUGACAUAACUUAUAUAAGUCUUAGGUAAAACUUUUUCAUGUUUUCUUACAAAUAAUAUAUGAUUUUUAUUCUAAUAUUUAAAGAUAGGAAGUAUUUACUUGUUCGAGUAUAUCGAAUUGUUAUAUACCUAUGUCGAAUUGUUAUAUACCUUAUGUCAUGUUGUCUAUAUAUAGUUAUUAAAAAUAUAUCCAACUAUUAACAAUUUCUGCAUUAUAGUUUAACUACAUUAUUUUACUGGCAUGUUACUCAAGCUAAUGAACACAUUUAAUAAGAAAACAAUUCCUUUUUUGUAAGGUACAUCUCACCUAUGCUUGAGAGUGUUUUAGUUUUAGGAAAAUAUGCUGUGUAUACAACACACUAUUUUUUUAUGAAUUUCAUCAGUCUUCAUUUACCAGAAACUGUCAAUUUUUUCAUUUUGUUUUUAUCUUAAUUCAUUUGUAAUUCAUAAUAAAGAAA